rnacentral:rRNA from 1 species
AAGUCGAACGGUAGAGGGGGUCAACCCCUUGAGAGUGGCGAACGGGUGAGUAAUAUAUCGGAACGUGCCCAGUCGUGGGGGAUAGCGUAGCGAAAGCUACGCUAAUACCGCAUACGAUCUAUGGAUGAAAGCGGGGGAUCGCAAGACCUCGCGCGAUUGGAGCGGCCGAUAUCAGAUUAGGUAGUUGGUGAGGUAAAGGCUCACCAAGCCGACGAUCUGUAGCUGGUCUGAGAGGAUGACCAGCCACACUGGAACUGAGACACGGUCCAGACUCCUACGGGAGGCAGCAGUGGGGAAUAUUGCACAAUGGGGGAAACCCUGAUGCAGCCAUGCCGCGUGUGUGAAGAAGGCCUUCGGGUUGUAAAGCACUUUCAGUGGGGAGGAAGGGGCGAUGUCUAAUACGCAUUGUCAUUGACGUUACCCACAGAAGAAGCACCGGCUAACUCCGUG